CGCCGGGCUUCGGCCUGGUUAUUCAUAACCCUUUGUUGUCCGACUCUGUUGCCUCCGGGGCGACCCUGCCUUCGGGCGGGGGCUCCGGGUGGACACUUCAAACUCUUGCGUAACUUUGCAGUCUGAGUAAACUUAAUUAAUAAAUUAAAACUUUUAACAACGGAUCUCUUGGUUCUGGCAUCGAUGAAGAACGCAGCGAAAUGCGAUAAGUAAUGUGAAUUGCAGAAUUCAGUGAAUCAUCGAAUCUUUGAACGCACAUUGCGCCCCCUGGUAUUCCGGGGGGCAUGCCUGUUCGAGCGUCAUUUCACCACUCAAGCCUCGCUUGGUAUUGGGCAACGCGGUCCGCCGCGUGCCUCAAAUCGUCCGGCUGGGUCUUCUGUCCCCUAAGCGUUGUGGAAACUAUUCGCUAAAGGGUGUUCGGGAGGCUACGCCGUAAAACAACCCCAUUUCUAAGGUUGACCUCGGAUCAGGUAGGGAUACCCGCUGAACUUAAGCAUAUCAUAGGCCGGGAGGAAA
rnacentral:rRNA from 1 species